GCGGCGGUGGUGGAGGGCGCGUUGGUGAUUCUAGGUGCAGAAACACCUGGAAUAGAAAAAAAUGUUCUCUUACCUCUGAGGACAUAGGGAUCGGAGUUGGGAGUGGGCUAAGAGUUCUAUAGAUGCUUGAGCCUAAGCUUUAGGAACGUCCCUUCUCCCCUGCAGCCUCAAAGCUAAGGGCUUCGGUUUGAGAACCAGUGAACGUUCCCUUCAACUUCAACUCUCCAGUGAUCAGCGGGGACAAGUGAAGGCAGAGCCGGCCGCAGAUCACGGGCUUCUAAGGACAGGAUCCCGGAGAAAGGCCCUCAAACCUGCCAUCCUUCUUCGCUCCUGCACCCCCUUCGAAACUGGAUGAUUUGCUUGAAAACAACAAAAAAUGACAUCAACUGCCAGAUAGGCCAGUUGAGGAUUAAGGGGGGGGGGGGGGGAGGGCAGAGAGAGAGAGAGGCAGACGCAGAAUCGGAAGUAGGCUCCAGGCUCCGAGCUGUCAGCGCAGAGCCCAACGCGGGGCUCGAACCCGUUCCUGGAUGACCUGAGCCGAAGUCGGACACUCAACCAACUGAGCCACGCAGGUAAUUAAGACCCUGGAGAGAAGGGAAGAGAAUGCUUCACUUGUGUUUGUAUACCUGGUGUCUGGAACGGGGACUUACCAAGUUUCCUGGAACUAUAAAUACUAGCACAAUAGGUGGAUGUUUCUGAGAGGGAGACCUCAGGUCAAACUAAUGAAGGACCUCAUUCAAUCAGGCUGUCAUGAGUGUGGUUAAGAGGACCAGUAAGCCACAGAACUUCAAUAAGAGAGCUUUCAGCAUGCAGAAAAGAGACCUGGGCUUGUCAGCUCGGCAUUGGUUCUUAUUUGAUCUGGAGCAAGAAACACCACUUUUCUGAAAUUCCAUUUCCUCAUCUGGAAGAAGAAGAAGAAGGAGAAGAAGGAGGAGGAGGAGGAGGAGGAGAAGGAAGAGAGGGAGGAGGCGGAGGAGGAAGAGGAGGAGGAAAGAGUUAAACCAAAUCUCUCAAUUCUCUGGCUAUUAAGUAAAAAUAUUUCUAAUUUGCAAACAGUUAAGCUUCAUUCAAAAGGUGAUAAAGUGAUUUCCACUUUGUAAAAGAUUCUUGAAUGCAUUUUAGUUAAUUGGUAAAUAAUGAGAACUCUAUGUUGGAUUAUGAUACAGAAACAAUGAUGAAAUGUAGUUGGAGAAAAUGUUUGGGUUAAAUGGAUGCCUACAGAUGCCUCCAUAUACUUACAAGUGUAAAGGGCACUGGAGAUCAAUGUAUGGUCUGCACAAAACAGAUUGGGUGUUUGGUCCUCACUCUGGACUUCAGCCUCUUGGCACAUUUUAAUUUCUCCAAGGUGAGUGUGUUACCUUAUCUAUAAGGCAUUUUAUUUUUAAUCUGAAUAAAAACUUGUGUACAAAUCAGUUUUCAUCCAGAUUUGACUCAGUAUAGGUAUGCAUGAAUAUCUGCAAUUUAUUCUUAUAGCCUUCUUUUAUCUGAGUGUUAGUAGCAUGAUGCAUGGUCACAACUAUUAGAGAAACACAGGUGAUUCAUUAAAUGUUUCUAAUGAGGGGCGCCUGGGUGGCUCAGUCGGUUGAGCGUCCGACUUCGGCUCAGGUCAUGAUCUUGCGGU